UGCUGAUUAGGUGGACUAAUUCCACUAGACACACCAUUGUAAUACAGGAAGUACUGUUGUUGUAAUGGAUGCAUUUGGCUUUAUACUUCCUCUUUAGGGGCCCACUGUUCCGGCUCAUUCUAAAGAUGCAAUCCAGGGAAGGAAGAGAAGCCGGCCUAUAAAAAGUGGUUCAACCAUCCCCCCCAAAAAGAAAGUUUGCCGUGUACAUGCAAAGAAUAAGGUGUUUCUCUUCCAAGAAGUAGUAGGCAAGAGGAAAAAUGAGGACAGGGAAGAAGUCCUCGUGCGGUGGCAACCUUGUUAUGGUUGUGGCGAACAAUGGGAUGACACCUGGGAGCCUUCAGCCAAUUUUCCAAAAGUGAUUAAUAAAGAUAAAAUUUGCUUUUUUUAAUGUGCGUGCGUG